rnacentral:tmRNA from 1 species
GGGGCUGAACUGGAAUCGACAGGAAAGAUCAUUGAGUAGUAAGCAUGUCGGAGCAUGUUGGAUCACUCCGUAACAAAUGUCCUUCAACCAACUUUAAAUGGCAAGUCUAACUUCGCCAUGGCUGCCUGAUCUAACUAGAUCACAAAGCCAUUGUGCCGCAGCAUCUGAUGCCUGAUACACGAUCUGCCGCACAUCAUCAAAACUUCAGGCUGGCUAAAAUGGCGCUCUGACAUUUUAGUGAGAACUUAAGAGAUAAGGAAUUGGCAUGAGUCUGUUAUCACACUCCCCCAAUUCCCGACAAUCCCGAGCGAUAACUAAGCAUGAAGAAAGCUGCUGAAUACUUUGUCUGGACCGGGGUUCGACUCCCCGCAGCUCCACUG